GACGAACGCUGGCGGCGUGCUUAACACAUGCAAGUCGAACGAUGAACCCGGAGCUUGCUCCGGUGGAUUAGUGGCGAACGGGUGAGUAACACGUGAGUAACCUGCCCUUGACUCUGGGAUAACUGCGGGAAACUGUAGCUAAUACCGGAUACGACCCUCGGCGGCAUCGCCAGGGGGUGGAAAGAAUUUCGGUCAAGGAUGGACUCGCGGCCUAUCAGCUAGUUGGUGAGGUAACGGCUCACCAAGGCGACGACGGGUAGCCGGCCUGAGAGGGUGACCGGCCACACUGGGACUGAGACACGGCCCAGACUCCUACGGGAGGCAGCAGUGGGGAAUAUUGCACAAUGGGCGCAAGCCUGAUGCAACAACGCCGCGUGAGGGAUGACGGCCUUCGGGUUGUAAACCUCUUUUAGUAGGGAAGAAGCGAGAGUGACGGUACCUGCAGAAAAAGCACCGGCUAACUACGUGCCAGCAGCCGCGGUAA
rnacentral:rRNA from 1 species